rnacentral:rRNA from 1 species
AACGAACGCUGGCGGCAUGCCUAACACAUGCAAGUCGAACGAGACCUUCGGGUCUAGUGGCGCACGGGUGCGUAACGCGUGGGAACCUGCCCUUAGGUUCGGAAUAACUCCCCGAAAGGGGUGCUAAUACCGGAUAAUGUCUUCGGACCAAAGAUUUAUCGACUUUGGAUGGGCCCGCGUUGGAUUAGCUAGUUGGUAGGGUAAAAGCCUACCAAGGCGACGAUCCAUAGCUGGUCUGAGAGGAUGAUCAGCCACACUGGGACUGAGACACGGCCCAGACUCCUACGGGAGGCAGCAGUGGGGAAUAUUGGACAAUGGGCGAAAGCCUGAUCCAGCAAUGCCGCGUGAGUGAUGAAGGCCGGAGGGUUGUAAAGCUCUUUUACCCGGGAUGAUAAUGACAGUACCGGGAGAAUAAGCUCCGGCUAACUCCGUG